rnacentral:hammerhead_ribozyme from 1 species
AUGCAGCUGACGAAUCCUAAAGAGGACGAAACACGCGUCCCGCAU